GACGUAGGGCGCGAGCGUUGUCCGGAUUUAUUGGGCGUAAAGAGCUCGUAGGCGGCUAGUCGCGUCGACUGUGAAAUCCCGCGGCUCAACUGCGGGUCUGCAGUCGAUACGGGCAGGCUAGAGUUCGGUAGGGGAGACUGGAAUUCCUGGUGUAGCGGUGAAAUGCGCAGAUAUCGGGAGGAACACCGAUGGCGAAGGCAGGUCUCUGGGCCGAUACUGACGCUGAGGAGCGAAAGCGUGGGGAGCGAACAGG
rnacentral:rRNA from 1 species